UGUGCAACAGAUGUUCCCAAGAGGCACUCAUCAAUAUAAUGGGAUCCUGCACUUACUUCUGCAUUUCAGAUGGACAUGGAUUGGGGUGCUUUACCUUGAUGAUGACAACGGGGAAAGACACAACCUAUUUCAGUAUGUAACGAUAACUGCCAUCAAGGAUUUUAUAAAAUGAAGAAGGAGGGGGAGCCCUUUUGCUGUUAUGAUUGCCUUCCAUGUCCAGAAGGAAAGAUUUCAUCCCGGAAAGACAUGGUUGACUGUGUUCGUUGUCCAGAAGGACAAUUUCCAAAUGAUGCUAAAGAUGGAUGUCUUCUGAAAAAUAUCACUUAUCUGUCUUAUAGAGAACCUUUAGGAUUUGGUUUGACUAUUCUUGCCCUC